CAACAAUUUAUGUGUCGUCGCAACGCACGGGCACCUACCUAGUUUAUAUAUAUUUGUACUCGACACAUCAAUAAAGCAAUACAGAGAGAACAGUUCUUCCUAUUCCUAUUCUCUGUUUCUUACAACGGGCACCACCGAUCGAGUCUUCGGAUUUGUACAGCAGCCCAUCCGUUGUUUUCACGGCCGCCGCGGCGGCAGCCCUGCUCCUUGUUCCUUGCAUGCCGGCAGCUAACCAAGGGCGUACACGUACGUGAGGUGCCCUGCCGGAGUUGUUUGCAGCCAGCACGCCACGGAAGCGGGUAGGGGUAGCGCUGAGCCUCACGCUCGCGAAAGAUGCAAGGAACAAACAUGUUUGCCACUGGUCUAAAAGAGAGAAAAAAAAGGACUACAUAUUAUGCCGGCGUCCGCGUGUCACCGCGCGAUGAGCGAGCCUAUGGCGCCGGCGAUGAGCGCGGUGGGAUCGCCGAGCACCGCGGAGAUGACGACCUGCGCGGCGAACCCGGCGAUCUCGCAGCAGCGCUUGGCCUUGCCCUUGUGCUUGCCCCAGUACGAGUACCUCCCUCCCCCGCUGGCGUGGCUGCUCUUCGCCGCGCCCCUGAUCAUCGCCGGCACCCAGUACCCGCCGCUGCCGGGCACCACCACGUGGCCCGCCAUCCCCUGGUCGCCCUUUUGGCGCCCGACGGAGUGCCAGCUCUCGACGAGCAUGUCCAUGACGCACGCCACGUGGAGGCUGUAGCACCUGCACUGGCUCCGGUAGCUCCAGCCGCGGCCGCGGUGCCCGCAGCGGUGGCACGCGGCGCCAGAGCCGGUGUCCGGGUGCAGGUGCAGCCUGACCCCGGCGCCGGCGUCCAGCGCGUG
rnacentral:misc_RNA from 1 species